rnacentral:lncRNA from 1 species
GAUUUUGAAUUUAAAAGUUCUAUCAUCAAAUUUUAAAAAAUGUUAAAUUCCAAUCGUUCAUUUUGGCAUAAUUUACUUACUAAGUAAAUGAUGUGUAAAAAAAUUAAAAUUUUAUUUCUAGAAAUUUUAUAUAUUCUAGAUUAUAUUUAACGAUAUGAAUCGUUAAUUUGAACAUCAUAAAAUCAAAAACUGGACUAUAGUAUUAGAGUUAUUGUAUUAUAGAUAAUGUAGUAUCUUAAUUC